GUGGGGAAUCUUGCGCAAUGGGCGAAAGCCUGACGCAGCCAUGCCGCGUGAAUGAUGAAGGUCUUAGGAUUGUAAAAUUCUUUCACCGGGGACGAUAAUGACGGUACCCGGAGAAGAAGCUCCGGCUAACUUCGUGCCAGCAGCCGCGGUAAUACGAAGGGGGCUAGCGUUGCUCGGAAUUACUGGGCGUAAAGGGCGCGUAGGCGGACAGCUUAGUCAGAGGUGAAAGCCCAGGGAUCAACCUUGGAAUUGCCUUUGAUACUGGCUGUCUUGAGUUUGGGAGAAGUGAGUGGAACUCCGAGUGUAGAGGUGAAAUUCGUAGAUAUUCGGAAGAACACCAGUGGCGAAGGCGACACACUGGCCCGUUACUGACGCUGAGGCGCGAAAGCGUGGGGAGCAAACAGGAUUAGAAACCCUGGUAGUCC
rnacentral:rRNA from 1 species